AGCGAAUGCUGGCGGCAUGCCUAACACAUGCAAGUCGCACGGGGGGGCUUCGGCCUCCCAGUGGCGGACGGGUGAGGAACGCGUAGGGACCUGUCGAGGGGUGGGGGAUAACCGCGGGAAACUGCGGCUAAUACCGCAUGACGCCGCGGCGUGACAGCCGGGGCCAAAGGCGAAAGCCGCCCGCCGAGGGGCCUGCGUCCGAUUAGCUGGUUGGCGGGGUAGCGGCCCACCAAGGCGUCGAUCGGUAGCUGGUCUGAGAGGGUGAUCAGCCACACCGGGACUGAGACACGGCCCGGACUCCUACGGGAGGCAGCAGUGGGGAAUAUUGGACAAUGGGCGCAAGCCUGAUCCAGCAAUGCCGCGUGGGUGAAGAAGGUCUUCGGAUUGUAAAGCCCUUUCGGCGGGGACGAUGGUGACGGUACCCGCAGAAGAAGCCCCGGCUAACUUCGUG
rnacentral:rRNA from 1 species